rnacentral:rRNA from 1 species
AAGCGCUUGCAACCAGACUCGCGCGCGGGUGUUCAGUCGUCCUUCGGGGCGGUGCGCUCUCCCGCGCCCGGGCCAGCAUCGGUUCGGGCGACCGGAUAAAGGUCCCGGGAACGUGAUUCUCCUCGGGGAAUGUUAUAGCCCGGGGCGCAAUGCGGCCAGCCCGGACCGAGGACCGCGCUUUUGCUAGGAUGCUGGCGUAAUGGUUGCCAGCGA